rnacentral:rRNA from 1 species
GAUGAACGCUGGCGGCGUGCCUAAUACAUGCAAGUCGAGCGAACAGAUGAGGAGCUUGCUCCUCUGACGUUAGCGGCGGACGGGUGAGUAACACGUGGAUAACCUACCUAUAAGACUGGGAUAACUUCGGGAAACCGGAGCUAAUACCGGAUAAUAUAUUGAACCGCAUGGUUCAAUAGUGAAAGACGGUUUUGCUGUCACUUAUAGAUGGAUCCGCGCCGCAUUAGCUAGUUGGUAAGGUAACGGCUUACCAAGGCAACGAUGCGUAGCCGACCUGAGAGGGUGAUCGGCCACACUGGAACUGAGACACGGUCCAGACUACUACGGGAGGCAGCAGUAGGGAAUCUUACGCAAUGGGCGAAAGCCUGACGGAGCAACGCCGCGUGAGUGAUGAAGGUCUUCGGAUCGUAAAACUCUGUUAUUAGGGAAGAACAAAUGUGUAAGUAACUAUGCACGUCUUGACGGUACCUAAUCAGAAAGCCACGGCUAACUACGUG